UACGGGGGGAGCAAGCGUUGUUCGGAUUUACUGGGCGUAAAGGGCGCGUAGGCGGCCACCGCAAGUCAAUUGUGAAAUCUCCGGGCUUAACUCGGAAAGGUCAACUGAUACUGCGGGGCUAGAGUGCGGAAGGGGCAACUGGAAUUCUCGGUGUAGCGGUGAAAUGCGUAGAUAUCAGGAGGAACACCGGUGGCGAAGGCGGGUCUCUGGGCCGAUACUGACGCUGAGGAGCGAAAGCGUGGGGAGCGAACAGG
rnacentral:rRNA from 1 species